UAUAUAUGUAGGACUCAAAUCUAGGGCGGGUUCCAAAUCUAUGGCAGAUUCCUAAUCUAUGGCAAAUGUGACGUUACAAAUGCAAAACAACUCAAAUCUAUGGUAGAUUUUUGUUUUCCUCAAGUCUAUGGCAGAUCUUUGAAUUGCGUCACAAUUGAAUAACGCCAUAUAACAUCGUCGCCCCCGCAAACGUUGGCGGAACCCGUAGAUUUGAACACCAUUCCUGAUACAGGCAUUUCCCUCGACAACAAUUUGCAGAUAGUCUCAAGGAAGAUGUGACCUAUUACUAGUAUUCGGAAGGCGGACGAAAUGUGCUGUACCGGCCA
rnacentral:lncRNA from 1 species